rnacentral:rRNA from 1 species
UACGAAGGGGGCUAGCGUUGCUCGGAAUCACUGGGCGUAAAGGGUGCGUAGGCGGGUCUUAAGUCAGGGGUGAAAUCCUGGAGCUCAACUCCAGAACUGCCUUUGAUACUGAGGAUCUUGAGUAUGGGAGAGGUGAGUGGAACUGCGAGUGUAGAGGUGAAAUUCGUAGAUAUUCGCAAGAACACCAGUGGCGAAGGCGGCUCACUGGCCCAUUACUGACGCUGAGGCACGAAAGCGUGGGGAGCAAACAGG